rnacentral:lncRNA from 1 species
CAUUCACCUAUGCAGCAGGCAACAAGUUUCUCUUGAUGAAACCAGACAUUCCAGCUCUCUUUUCCUGCCUCCAAGACUCCAAGCUCACCUUGAGAGUUUCCUCGGAAUUGACUGCUACACCCACUUCAAUAGGAAGAUUAGCCCUGAGCUAACAUCUGCUAUCAAUCCUCCUCUUUUUGCUGAGGAAGCCUGGCCCUGAGCUAACAUCCAUGCCCAUCUUCCCCUACUUUAUAUGCGGGAUGCCUACCACAGCAUGGCAUGCCAAGCGGUGCCAUGUCCGCACCCGGGAUUGGAACCGGAAUCGGCGAACCCCGGGCUGCCGAGAAGCUCUAUGUAAUUCCACCCAGGAAUAAAUUUCUAACUGUGCAGAAGAUGAAAAACCCCAUUAAAGAAGAAGUUCUCAAGUACCUGAUAAGGGAGACGAGAGCAUUUACAGCUGGUUGGUUAGCCCACAUCCACCAUGAACUAACCUUUUCCCUUCCAUAGAAGCUGGAGGACGUAAACUGACUUAUCCAGUCUCCCUUCCAGCUACAGAUGGUCAUGUCACAUCCUUCUGGCCAAAGAGACUAAAGCAGAAGUCUGCUGGGGGACAUAUGGGAAACUCUUGCUUCCCUAGAAAAGGGGACACACAUACUUGGGAAUGCAACUUUACGACUUGAACGUGAGCUUGAUGCCUGGAGUACUGUGAAAAUGAAGAUAAGGUCAAGAGAACUUCAGAAAUGUCAGCUCUGAUACCUUUGAGCUGCUGAACCAACACAAGC